GAUGAACGCUGGCGGCGUGCCUAAUACAUGCAAGUCGAGCGAACAGACGAGGAGCUUGCUCCUCUGACGUUAGCGGCGGACGGGUGAGUAACACGUGGAUAACCUACCUAUAAGACUGGGAUAACUUCGGGAAACCGGAGCUAAUACCGGAUAAUAUAUUGAACCGCAUGGUUCAAUAGUGAAAGACGGUUUUGCUGUCACUUAUAGAUGGAUCCGCGCCGCAUUAGCUAGUUGGUAAGGUAACGGCUUACCAAGGCGACGAUGCGUAGCCGACCUGAGAGGGUGAUCGGCCACACUGGAACUGAGACACGGUCCAGACUCCUACGGGAGGCAGCAGUAGGGAAUCUUCCGCAAUGGGCGAAAGCCUGACGGAGCAACGCCGCGUGAGUGAUGAAGGUCUUCGGAUCGUAAAGCUCUGUUAUUAGGGAAGAACAAAUGUGUAAGUAACUAUGCACGUCUUGACGGUACCUAAUCAGAAAGCCACGGCUAACUACGUG
rnacentral:rRNA from 1 species